GCUGUAGUAGCAAAGUAGUUAAUGCAAAAGACUUAGGAUCUUUCAACGUAGGUUCAACUCCUUCCUCCAGCU
rnacentral:tRNA from 1 species